GACGAACGCUGGCGGCGUGCCUAAUACAUGCAAGUCGAACGAGUUGCGAACGGGUGAGUAACGCGUUGUAACCUGCCUCAUAGCGGGGGAUAACUAUUUGAAACGGUAGCUAAUACCGCAUACCAUCAGAUGUGCCCCGAUGGGAUUAGCUAGUUGGUGGGGUAACGGCUCACCAAGGAGACGAUCCCUAGCUGGUAUGAGAGGAUGACCAGCAACACUGGAACUGAGAAACGGUCCAGACUCCUACGGGAGGCAGCAGUGGGGAAUAGUGCACAAUGGGCGCAAGCCUGAUGCAGCCAUGCCGCGUGUAUGAAGAAGGCCUUCGGGUUGUAAAGUACUUUCAGCGGGGAGGCGUUACCCGCAGAAGAAGCACCGGCUAACUCCGUGCCAGCAGCCGCGGUAAUUC
rnacentral:rRNA from 1 species